rnacentral:sRNA from 1 species
AGAAAAAAAUUAAAAAAAAAAAGAGGGAUGAAACACGAGGACUUCCCGGGAGGUCAACCAUCCUAGUACUACUCUCACCCAAGCACGCUUAACUGCGGUGUUCUGAUGGGAUCCGGUGUAUUAGUGCUUGUAUGAUCGCAUCCGUUAGUAUAUGCAAUGCAAUCGUAUAUAUUCUUUUUUGAAGACUUGAUGAACCAUUCGCCAUGGGUUCCAUCCGCUAUGUAGGGAUACCCCAUCUAUUCUUAACGAGAUUUGAUGCAUGAAAAAAUUCUAAAACAAUGCUUAAACAAGUAAUUUUAGGUCCGUAAUAUUGCCCAAAUCACAAAAAUGCUCGAAAGAGUACUUAAAGGUCAAAAUUUGGGGUCGACAAAAAGUCAAUGGAAAAGUUCCUUUGUCCUGCUUCUUUCGUCGGAGGGCUCUCUUUGGGCUUUACGAAAAGGUAUCACAUGCCAAGUUUUGCCUCACAGUAUAAAAGUUAUUGAGUCAUAAAGUUUUAACCAAAAAAAACAAAUUAAAAAAAAGAGGGAUGCAACACGAGGACUUCCCGGGAGGUCAUCAUCC